CCCUCUGUAGCUCAGCGUGGUAGAGCAACUCGUUUUCAACGGGUCCGUCGCGGGUUCGACUCCCGCCAGGAAAGCCG
rnacentral:tRNA from 3 species